UCCCGGAUAGCUCAAUGGUGGAGCGAGCGGCUGUUAACCGCUAGGUUGUAGGUUCGAGUCCUACUCCGGGAGCCA
rnacentral:tRNA from 1 species